rnacentral:misc_RNA from 1 species
AUGAAGAACGUAGCGAAAUGCGAUACGUAAUGUGAAUUGCAGAAUUCAGUGAAUCAUCGAAUCUUUGAACGCAUAUUGCGCUCUCUGGUAUUCCGGAGAGCAUGCUUGUUUGAGUAUCAGUAAACACCUCAACUCCCCUUUCUUUUUUUGAAAUGGGAGCUGGACUUGAGUGAUCCCAACGCUUUUCUCACCGAAAAGUGGCGGGUUACUUGAAAUGCAGGUGCAGCUGGACUUUUCUCUGAGCUAAAAGCAUAUCUAUUUAGUCUGCCUAAAAAACAGAUUAUUACCUUUGCUGCAGCUAACAUAAAGGAGAUUAGUUCUUGUGCUGACUGAUGCAGGAUUCACAGAGACAGCUUCGGCUGGCCUUUGUAAACUCGAUCUCAAAUCAAGUAAGACUACCCGCUGAACUUAAGCAUAUCAAUAAGCGGAGGA